rnacentral:lncRNA from 1 species
GGAAGAGGAGUCUCCAUUUUCAAGGUGUUAGUCUGAGGCCUGCGGGAUUUGUGUUCAGGCUCCAUGCCCAGUGUGGAGCUCAACAAGGGCUUGAACUCACUACCCUGAGAUCAAGACCUGAGCCGAGAUCAAGAGUGAAACACCCAACCAACUGGGCUACCCAG